AUUGAACGCUGGCGGAAUGCUUUACACAUGCAAGUCGAACGGCAGCACGGGGGCAACCCUGGUGGCGAGUGGCGGACGGGUGAGUAAAGCAUCGGAACGUAUCCUGGAGUGGGGGAUAACGUAGCGAAAGUUACGCUAAUACCGCAUAUUCUGUGAGCAGGAAAGCAGGGGAUCGCAAGACCUUGCGCUCUGGGAGCGGCCGAUGUCGGAUUAGCUAGUUGGUGGGGUAAAGGCCUACCAAGGCGACGAUCCGUAGCGGGUCUGAGAGGAUGAUCCGCCACACUGGGACUGAGACACGGCCCAGACUCCUACGGGAGGCAGCAGUGGGGAAUUUUGGACAAUGGGCGGAAGCCUGAUCCAGCCAUGCCGCGUGAGUGAAGAAGGCCUCGGGUUA
rnacentral:rRNA from 1 species